rnacentral:tRNA from 1 species
ACAUUGGUGGUUCAGUGGUAGAACUCUCACCUUCCAUGAGGGAGACCCAGGUUUGACUUCCAACCAAUGUA